rnacentral:tRNA from 1 species
GCCUCGUUAGUGCAGUAGGCAGCGCGUCAGUCUCAUAAUCUGAAGGUCUUGAGUUCGAACCUCACACGAGGCA